CCUUGCACACACCGCCCGUCGCUUCACCCGAGUUGGGUCAGGACGAGGUCAUCUCAUGUUGUGGUGAUCGAAUCUUAGCUCGGCAAGGGGGAG
rnacentral:rRNA from 1 species